UUGACAGUGCAUAUAUGGAUCUCCUGCUACAUAACAACGUCUGAUGGGUGUCCAGGGGAGAGGUGCUGAAACAGUUUGCUGCAUGUCUGGAAUGCAUGAAAAGUUUCCUAGAAAGCAAGGGACUCACUGACCCUGAAUUGGAACAUUCAGAUUGGCUGGAAAAGCUGCACUUCAUGGUGGAUAUUACACUGCAACUCAACAUGCUGAACAAAAGUCUUCAGGGAAAAGGAAUUACGGCCCUGCAGAUGCUGGAUGAUGUUUUGGCUUUGGUGCACAAGAUAACGGUGUUUGCCAGAGAUGUACAGAGAGGUACACUCUCUCACUUCCCCUCCUUGAGAGAGUUCAAAGAAGCACACAAUCACAUAAAUUGUGAGUAUUUAUAGCAUGCAGUUAUCUAAUGCAAACUGCAUUUGGGGAAGGAUUCUGUGAGCUCAGAAUGGAAAAUAACUCAUCAUCUUUCCCUGUCACACCCCUGGACAUUGACCCACCCUACUGUCCUCAUUUACAGGAGUUAAGUCAACCCGAUCUUGAAAUUGAACUGGCCAACAUAGCUGAUAAAGACUUAUGGGUGUAUAAGUUCAAAACCUGACAGCUGAUCUCAAAGAUUUUGCCUAGCAGAAGGCCAUUCUCGCUCAGAAGCACAAAUGGAACAAUACUGAAAACCUCCCCAAACCCGACAAACUUGCGUUUGAAAUAUGGAAUGCCAUUCCUGACACUUUUAUGAGUAUGAUGAUUUAUCCAUUUGAAGUCCUGGCCAUCUUUGGAUCCACAUACAUAUGCAAACAGGUUUUCUCAAGCAUGAACUACAGAAAAUGCAAAUAGCACUCAUGCCUCAUGGAUGACAGCCUGCAGUCCUGUGUGAAGAUCAAAGUCAUGUCUUACAGCCCUGAUACAGAGAAGCUAUGCAGUGAUGUUCAGAAACAGAAAUCACAUUAAACUGGUUUGACAGUUGACUGCUGGACAUGGCUGAGGAAAAAACAGAAGAGGAUGACAGCACACUGAAAUGGACUUAAGUCAUAAUUAAAUACAAACUGGCCUAUUUUUAUGUUUACUGUUUUUUAAAGCUAUUAGGCAGCAGUUAUAUGUUUUAUUGAUUUCACAGUGGGCUACUUUUUAUUUUAUUAAUUUUCCACAAAUAAAGGAAGAACUCAAACAGG